CUCUGGUCAUCUCUCUCGAUUUCUAUCCUAGGAGAUUACAGGAAUGCAUAGGGGUGCCAGUAAUAUCUCAUGGGACUCUCCUUUUAGCAUCUGGUGGGAGUGAAGGAAGCUGCCCAGAGGAUGUAGAUGACUAACCAGGGGUGAACGAAAGCAGCCACUCCGGACCAUUGUUUCGGCAUUGACACUUUGACUACGACAAUUGCAUGUCAAGUUAAUUGUCAUGCAAGCCUUCGAUCUUGUUCCAGAGACCACCAACCCAGAACAGUAUUGGUCCUUCCACUAAGCCAUGAUAGAUUUCUACUCCUACCCAGAAUAGAUGUAGGAACUACGUCCAUGCACAGCAGGAAAUAGCUCCAGAAGAGACCUUUGCCCAAAACCACUUAAGAAUAAAGAGGAUAAAAUCUCUUAAGGGAGGAAAAAGACAAGUGAGCUGACUCAUUUUCUGUUUUGAUGUGAUGUGAAAAAAAAAAAAAGCCUCUUACUCAAGUUGUAGCUCAAAGGCUCAAGAAGCUAUUAACCACAAGUUCCUGUGUUAGGAGGGUGAGGACUUCCCUGAAGCCCUGCAUGCACAACUAGUCUUUAGUUUCAACUCAUAGUGACUUUUCCUCAUUUUAAUGCUAACAAUCAGGCCCAG
rnacentral:lncRNA from 10 species